rnacentral:rRNA from 1 species
CCUACGGGGGGCAGCAGUGGGGAAUAUUGGACAAUGGGGGAAACCCUGAUCCAGCGACGCCGCGUGAGUGAAGAAGUAUUUCGGUACGUACAGCUCUAUCAGCAGGAAAGAAAAUGACGGUACCUGACUCAGAAGCCCCGGCUAACUACGUGCCAGCAGCCGCGUUUCUAGGUAGGGGGCAAGCGUUAUCCGGAUUUAGUGGGUUUAAUGGGUGCGCAGGCGGUAGAUCAAGUCCGCGGUAAAAUUGAGGGGCUCAACCUCUUAGCGCCGUUGAAACUGGUUUUCUUGAGUGGGGGAGAAGUAGGCGGAAUGCGUGGUGUAGCGGUGAAAUGCAUAGAUAUCACGCAGAACUCCGAUUGCGAAGGCAGCAUACCGGCGCGAAACUGACGCUGAGGCACGAAAGUGUGGGUAUCGAACAGGAUUAGAUACCCGUGUAGUC